UGACCUGAACUCAGACGCGAUCACCCGCUGAACUUAAGCAUAUCAGUAAGCGGAGGAAAAGAAACUAACAAGGAUUCCCUUAGUAACGGCGAGUGAAA
rnacentral:rRNA from 3 species